CCCGUACACAAAAGCGCAUGUGUUGUGAGCUCGAUGAGUAGGGCGGGACACGUGGUAUCCUGUCUGAAUAUGGGGGGACCAUCCUCCAAGGCUAAAUACUCCUGACUGACCGAUAGUGAACCAGUACCGUGAGGGAAAGGCGAAAAGAACCCCGGCGAGGGGAGUGAAAAAGAACCUGAAACCGUGUACGUACAAGCAGUGGGAGCACCCUUUUGGGUGUGACUGCGUACCUUUUGUAUAGUGGGUCAGCGACUUAUAUUCUGUAGCAAGGUUAACCGUAUAGGGGAGCCGUAGGGAAACCGAGUCUUAACCGGGCGUUAAGUUGCAGGGUAUAGACCCGAAACCCGGUGAUCUAGCCAUGGGCAGGUUGAAGGUUGGGUAACACUAACUGGAGGACCGAACCGACUAAUGUUGAAAAAUUAGCGGAUGAC
rnacentral:rRNA from 1 species